GACGAACGCUGGCGGCGCGCCUAACACAUGCAAGUCGAACGAGAGAGAGGAAGCUUGCUUCCUUAAUCGAGUGGCGAACGGGUGAGUAACGCGUGAGGAACCUGCCUCAAAGAGGGGGACAACAGUUGGAAACGACUGCUAAUACCGCAUAAGCCCACAGCUCGGCAUCGAGCAGAGGGAAAAGGAGUGAUCCGCUUUGAGAUGGCCUCGCGUCCGAUUAGCUGGUUGGUGAGGUAACGGCCCACCAAGGCGACGAUCAGUAGCCGGACUGAGAGGUUGAACGGCCACAUUGGGACUGAGAUACGGCCCAG
rnacentral:rRNA from 1 species